CCUACGGGCGGCAGCAGUGGGGAAUAUUGCACAAUGGGGGAAACCCUGAUGCAGCGACGCCGCGUGAGUGAAGAAGUAUUUCGGUAUGUAAAGCUCUAUCAGCAGGGAAGAGAAUGACGGUACCUGAGUAAGAAGCGCCGGCUAACUACGUGCAAGCAGCCGCGGUAAUACGUAGGGGGCAAGCGUUAUCCGGGUUUACUGGGUGUAAAGGGAGGGUAGACGGCGAAUAAAGGCUGAAGUGAAAGCCCGCGGCUCAACCGCGGAACUGCUUUUGAAACUUUUUUGCUGGAGUACCGGAGAGGUAAGCGGAAUUCCUAGUGUAGCGGUGAAAUGCGUAGAUAUUAGGAGGAACACCAGUGGCGAAGGCGGCUUACUGGACGGUAACUGACGUUGAGGCUCGAAAGUGUGGGGAGCAAACAGGAUUAGAUACCCUAGUAGUC
rnacentral:rRNA from 1 species